rnacentral:rRNA from 1 species
UGGCGACCGGCGCACGGGUGAGUAACACGUAUGCAACCUGCCCCUGUCAGGGGGACAACCCGCCGAAAGGCGGGCUAAACCCGCGUACAUGCCACCGGGGCAUCCCGGAGGCAGGAAAGGCUUCGGCCGGACAGGGAUGGGCAUGCGGCGCAUUAGGCAGUAGGCGGGGUAACGGCCCACCUAACCGACGAUGCGUAGGGGUUCUGAGAGGAAGGUCCCCCACACUGGUACUGAGACACGGACCAGACUCCUACGGAAGGCAGCAG